UCGGGGAUUGCAAACGUAUUAAUAGAUGGGGAUACGGGUAAUCCAAUGAAUUUAUAGUUAGGAUCGAGCUGUGCUCUGGCGCACUGCAUGCAGUAAUCCUGAGUUGCGUUACGGUCAUCCUUGUGUACGCACCUGUCUGCCGCUCAAUCAUAUUCUAUUCGAUUCAAUCCCAUCUAAGAACGACAAACUUAUCCCCAAUUCCCUCUAACCACGAAUCGAUUUCUCCGACGUUCACGUAUUCGUUAUCAAGUUAUCCUUUAAAAAAAAAAAAAAGAAAGGGGAGAAGAAAAAUAUCAUCCUUAUACAAAUCGAUCGAUUAUCCAUAAACUAAAUAUGUUCUUUUUACGCCACCUAGAGUAAAAAUCCACCCCCGUAGCAGCGAUAAAACAGGUCCUUAAUCAGAUUCUCCCGCGACAAAGGGACGUGGCAAGCCUCCUUGCGAGAGACGCAAGAGGGUGGAUGAUAAAUAAUCGCGAUUUCAUUUGUCACGAAGGAAACGAAAGUUAUGAAGAGCGAUAAAGAGCUGGGAAGAAUAAAGCGGGAGCUUGUCGUGUAAUCCAUCGAGAAGAGGAAAAAAAGGGAGGGAGAGAAGGGAAGAGAGGAUGGAGAGAAAGUUUUCCAAGUUUUCCAAGCAAUGGGGACAGGAGGUGCAGCAACAGUGAACGGUAGAGCGAUAUUCUGAUACAUUUGUAGAAGAAAAAAGAAUGACGAAACGGAUAAUCGAAGCGGAUGUAUAAAAAGAUAGAGAAAACUGGGAAAAAGAAGACACACGAGAAAGAAGAAAAGAUCCGAAAUGAGAAAGAAGAGAACCACCGAAAGGGAGGAGGAGGAGGAGGAGGAGUCGAGG